rnacentral:RNase_P_RNA from 3 species
CCAGCCGGCCGGGCGGCCGCACGCGCGAGAGCCGAAAGGUUGCGUGUGAGGAAAGUCCGGGCUCCAUGGAGACACGGUGCCGGCUAACGGCCGGCGGGGGCGACCCCAGGGAAAGUGCCACAGAAAGCAAACCGCCACGGAUAUCCGUGGCAAGGGUGAAAGGGUGGGGUAAGAGCCCACCGCGCGCCUGGCAACAGGGGCGGCACGGCAAACCCCACCGGGAGCAAAACCGAAUAGGGGCGGUGCGAGGGGAAACCCUCGAGGGCUGUUUCCGGCCCACCGCCCGGGUAGGUUGCGUGAGGCGCAUGGCAACAUGCGCCCAAGAUGAAUGGCCGCCACGUUCCCGCUCCGCAAGGGGCGGGGGCCAUACAGAACCCGGCUUACAGGCCGGCUGGCAUC